rnacentral:rRNA from 1 species
GCCAGACUCCUACGGGAGGCAGCAGUGGGGGAUAUUGCACAAUGGGGGGAACCCUGAUGCAGCGACGCCGCGUGGGUGAAGGAGCGUUUCGGCGCGUAAAGCCCUAUCGGCAGGGAAGAAGGAGGACGGUACCUGACUAAGAAGCCCCGGCUAACUACGUGCCAGCAGCCGCGGUAAUACGUAGGGGGCAAGCGUUAUCCGGAUUUACUGGGUGUAAAGGGGGCGCAGACGGCAGCGCAAGCCAGGAGUGAAAGCCCGGGGCCCAACCCCGGGACUGCUCUUGGAACUGCGCGGCUGGAGUGCAGGAGGGGCAGGCGGAAUUCCUGGUGUAGCGGUGAAAUGCGUAGAUAUCAGGAGGAACACCGGUGGCGAAGGCGGCCUGCUGGACGGCGACUGACGUUGAGGCCCGAAAGCGUGGGGAGCAAACAGGAUUAGAUACCCCUGUAAAC